AAGAUAUUUGACCGAAACUUCUAGGAAGUUUCCUCUGUACUAGCUUUUUACUUCUGACUACUCUCCUGGAAAAUGUAUGCAUAGUUUCUUAUUAGUAUUCAUUCAUUCUGGGGAAGAAUAGAAGUUUAUUCAAAAUAGAUGAACCUAGUUGCUGAGGGCAGAAAGUGAGCUGGAAAACUGAUUGGCAAGUGUCUAUUGAUAUCUUUACUCAUCCAAGUUCUAACCAGAUUUGCUUCUUUCGACUUGUUGAUUUUUAGGCUAAAAUAUGGCUGCUGCUUCUUCUUGCUCUGAUAUCAUCCCUCGGGAGAAGUAUGAUGUAUUUCUUAGUUUCAGAGGCGAGGACACCCGGAAUACUUUUACCAGCCAUCUUUAUGAGGCUUUAUGUCGGAACAAAAUCCAUACUUACAAAGAUGAUGAGGAACUGGAGAGAGGAGAUGAAAUCUCACCUGCCCUUCUCAAAGCAAUCAGCGAAUCGAAGCUCUCAGUUAUCAUUUUCUCCAAAAACUAUGCUUCUUCUACAUGGUGUUUGGAUGAACUUGUGCACAUACUCGAAUGCAGAGAUAAACAGUUUGUUAUACCCAUCUUCUACGGCGUAGAUCCAUCACAUGUACGCAGAAAAUUGGGGAGUUACGCAGAUGCAUUUGUUAAACACGAGAAACGUUUCGAGGACAAUCUGGACAAGGUGCUCAGGUGGAGACAUGCUUUGACAACAGCAGCCAAUAUAUCUGGGUUCGAUUCUCAAACUAUUAGGGUCGAGUCUGAAUUAGUUAAGACUGUGGUCGAUGACAUUUUGGAAAAAUUGAACCGCGAAUCGUCAAGUUGUUUAGAAGGCAAGGUUGGAAUCAAAAAAAAGAUUCAACAAGUUGAAUCGUUAUUAUGCCUUCACUCACUGGAUGUCCAGACUCUAGGCAUUUGGGGUAUGGGUGGUAUCGGUAAGACCACCAUUGCUGAGGUUGUAUUUGGUCGUCUCUCUUCUCAAUUCGAAGCUUGCUGCUUUAGUGCAAAUGUUAGCGAAUUAGAAGCGAAACAUGGACUAAAUGAUUUGCGAAAUCAGAUUCUUUGUGAACUACUGCAGAAAGAAAAUCUACGUGUGGCCACUUCAUAUAUUAUAUCAAAUUCUGAACGAGAGAGGAUUCGCCGUACAAAGGCCCUCAUUGUUCUUGAUGGUGUGAGUGCUUUCCGCCAAAUACAAUUUUUAGUUGGAGGUGACAAUAUGUUUGGCCCUGGAAGUAGAAUCCUUGUAACAACCAGAAAUAAACGCACAUUUGGGAACCUUGUUAAUGAUGAUAAGAUAUAUGAGGUUAAGGAAUUAGACGUUAAUGAAGCUCUUGAGCUCUUUUAUUUGAGAGCUAAUAUCUCUUUCCCAGGUGAUUAUACGACUUUUGCAAAACAGGUGGUAGAUUAUGCUGGGGGCAAUCCAUUGGCUCUCACAAUAUUGGGCUCUGUAUUCUCUUAUUGCAGGAGCAAAGAAGACUGGGAAAGUGAAUUAGAUAAAGUGAAAAAAUUUCCCAGCCAAGAUAUCCAGAAUGUGUUGAGGUUAAGUUAUGAUGGAUUAGAAGAAAAUGAGAAGGAUAUAUUUCUCGAUAUCGCAUGUUACUAUAAAGGAGAGGAUAUAGAUUAUGCAAAAAGAAUGUUAGAUGCCUCUGGUUUCUGUGCGAAUGCAGGGAUAAGACUUCUCAUUGAUAUGUCUCUCAUAUCCGUGGAUAAAUAUUUUAGACUUAAGAUGCAUGAUUUGAUACAAGAAAUGGGUCAUAAAAUUGUUCGUGAUCAAGGUGUUAAGAAUCUCGGGAAACGUAGUAGAUUGUGGAUUGCUACUGAUGUCUGUUGCAUAUUGCAAAAUAAUAGGGGAACUGGAGCAAUUGAAUGCUUAGUCAUGAGCCUGGACCACAUUUCAGAUCUUGACAUAAAACCUUCAGCCUUCAAACAGAUGCAUAAUCUAAGAUUACUUAAGUUACAGUUUAGGCGGUACUGGGACUCAAUGUCAUGCAUCAACAAAGUUCACCUUCCUCGAGGUCUCGAGUGUCUUCCUCAAGCCCUUAGAAUUAUGCAGUGGGAUGGCUACCCUUUGAAUUCUCUGCCAUCAAAGUUUUGUGCAGAAAAGCUUGUUGAGCUUCGUAUGUGUUACAGCCGACUUCAGCGACUUUGGAAUAAAGGCCUGAAGAUCAAUCUUGGGAGCUUAAAACAUAUCGAUCUUAGUUUCUCCGAGCACCUGGCUGAUGUUUCAGCUCUGAUUGAGAGCCCAAAUCUCGAGAGAAUUAAUCUUGAAGGUUGUACAAGUUUGGUUCAACUUCCUUCUUUACAGCAUCUUGCCAAGCUUACUCUUCUCGAUCUGUACCGCUGCUUCAAUCUCAAAAUUCUCCCAGCGAUGCCAGGCAAUCUGGAAACCAUAUACUUGGAUAGUACUGCAAUAGAAGAAUUGCCUUCAUCAAUUUGUUGUCUCGAGAAGCUUUAUGAAUUGGGUCUUACAAAAUGUGAAGAGCUUAAGAUUCUUCCAAGCAGAACUUGUAGGCUGAAUUCUCUCCGAUGUCUUAAUCUAGAAGGCUGCCUCUCUCUUGAGUAUUUGCCUGUCGAGCUACCUUCUGGACUGACGGAUCUGGACUUGAGCAAUUGCAAGAGUCUUGGGUCUUUGCCUGUCAAGCUACCUUCUGGGCUGAAGGAACUGAACUUGAGCGAUUGUGAGAGUCUUGGGUCUUUGCCCGUCGAGCUCCCUUUUGUGCUGGAGAAACUGCAUUUGAGCAAUUGCAAGAGUCUUGGGUCUUUACCGAAGCUGCCAUGGCUUCUAAACGAGUUAAAAGCAGAUGGCUGCAUGUCACUAGAGAGGACUGCCCCGGUACAAGGUUGGGAUAAAUAUGUCAACCAUUUUAAAGAAUUCUGGACUGACCGUGUCGAGCAGCAUAUAUUUAUAAAUUGCCUGAAAUUGGAUCAGAGUGCAAGAAGCAACAUAAUGGCUGAUGCACAGCUUCGAGUCCUGCGAAUUGCAAGGUUAGAUGUCCCAGGCGAUAUUAUAAUUGUUUGUCCGGGAAAUAAAAUUCCAAAGUGGUUGAGGUAUCAAAGUGAGGGGUGUUCAAUAAAUAUCAAGCUUCCUCAUUGGCAUCGUGAAGGCUUCAUGGGUUACGCUCUAUGCAUUGUGGUUGCAUUCAACAACUAUACCCCACCCGAUAUUGGGAUUUCCUUCUUUAGUUGUGAAACCCAUCACAAAACUAAUAAUUGUCAAGAAGUUAGUUGGCCAGGGUUCCAUAUACGCCUACCAGAUAUUCUCAAUUCAGAUCAUGUGUUCGUGUGGUAUUUCCGCCCUGAAUAUGUUGUAUUAGAAAGUGCAAUCAAUCACGAGGAUUGGGUAAAAGCAUCCGAGGCCUCUUUUGACUUCAUGUUGUACCAAUAUACUUAUCAGGAAAAACAGUUCUUACCAGAGCAAAAUCCUUUUGACCUGUCCACUGUGAGGGUGAAAAGGUGUGGAGUCUCCUUGCUGUAUGCUCAAGAUCAUGAAAACUUAUUUGGAGGCAUUGAUGAAGAUGUAGUUAUGGAACCAAAGCAAGUAGUUGAAAAAGAAGAUGUCAUCAUCAAAACUAAAGAGACGAGGCGACCAGUUUGAACUUGGUGGAAGCGAAACUGCAAUCUUCAAAGAAGAAGAUGACGGUGAACUACCUCCCCACAGUAGUACAAGGAAAAGCAACAUCUUUUGAAAUAGCGAGUGAACUUGCAUUUCUAUCUUGAUUCUCUUCAUUUUAGUGGAUCAGUGCGCAACUUGCUCCGCCUUUGCGUUGUUGGUUUACUUGAUUUACAAGGAAUAAAAGAGGGAUUAGACGCUUUGAGAGAGAAUGAUAAGGGUGAAUCACUGCAAUUCAAGAGCACAAUAACGGAGUUAAUUAGGAGUAAUACGAGUGAGGAAUUGAUGGGAAAUGAAAAGGCUAGCUGUUAAUGGAUGGAAUGUAAAGUCUAGCUCUGCCGCAGCUGCAGUUGAGAAAGCAGACAAGUGCUCUUCACAGUUACAACUUCCAAAGUAGAUCAUUCGAGUACAUUUCAGUCCAUUGUAGACGGCGAGACCAUAGGUUCAACUGGGGGAACCUUUGAGCUUGGAUUCUUCAGUCCCGGUUCUUAUACUACGCGAUAUGUGGGGAUAUGGUACAAGAAGAUAUCGGUUACUACCAUUUUGUGGGUUGCCAACAGACACACCCCUCACUGAUUCAUUAGGUGUUCUCACGAUCACACACCGCGAAAUUCUUGUCCUUGUUAGCCAAAACAACAGCACAGUUUGGUCCUCCAACACAUCAAGAACUGCACAAAAUCCAGUGGCUCAGCUUUCCAACUCCAGAAAUCCUGUUGUGAAAGAUGGGAGUGAUAAUGAGGCAGAGAAUUUUCGGUGGCAAAGUUAUGAUAUUACUCAGGUGACACAUUCCUACAAGGUAUGAAGCUUGGCAGGAACACAGUUACAGGCUUCAACUGGCAUAUAUCAUCAUGGAAAAAUCAUCAAGAUCCUUCUCAGGGCAAUUACACUAUCAACUUGAUCCCAUUGGUUAUCCAAAACUAAUUUUGAGGCAAGGUUCGGUUACAAAAUUUCAGACUAGUCGAUGGAAUGGAAUCCGAUUUAGCCUCCAUACGCAUAUGUCUUGUUUUUUAUCACGAUGAGAUAUUUUACAGUUAUGCUAGCCAACAGCUCAGUUAUUUCUAGGAUGGUGUUAACUCAAGAAGGGCUUGUUCAACGCUACACAUGGGUUGAUACCACAAAGUUGGGUAGUUUACUUAACAGCACAGAUAGAUAACUGUCAUAGUUGUGCACUUCGUGAUCCAAAUGGCCGAUGUAAUAUUGAGAACUCCCCAGUAUGUGGUUGCUUGAGAGGAUUAGUACCCAAAGUUCCAAAUGGGUGUGUUAGAAGAACUAGUAUACAGUGUCAUGGGGACAUAGUUUUCUAGUAGUACACUGGGACCAAAUUGCCAAGCACCAAACAAUCCUGAUUUACCACAAGUACGAACCUCAAGUAAUGUAAGAAGUGUUGUAUGAAGAACUGCUCCUGCAUAGCCUGUGCAAAUUCCAAUAUCAGGGAAGGAGUAAGUGGGAGCUUGCUGCGGUUCAGUGAUCUGAUUGACGUAAGAAAUUUCACUGAAAAUGGGCAAGAUAUAUCUAGUUAUCUACAUAUAUGAGAUUAGCUGCAUCAGAGCAAGAGACUACUACCACAAUCAAUGCUAAACUUGCUAAAUCCAAUGUGAAGAAAGUGAGAAUCAUAGUUAGCACUCUUGUUUACUCUACGGGGCAGCUGAUACUGGGUGUAGCCCUGCUCGUUUAUGUUUGGAAGAAGGAUGCAGAAAAACUGAGCCGCAGCUACAAGGAAAAUCUGGAAUUACCAUUGUUUGACUUGGCUACUAUUGUAAAUGUUACCUGUAACUUCUCAAAUGACAAUAAACUAGGAGAAGGUGACUCCAGAUCUGUCUUUAAGGGUAUAUUGAAAGAAUGAAAGAUGGACGAAAAAUAGAAGUGAAAAGGCUCUAAAGAGACUCUAUGCAAGGAAUCAAUGAUUUCAAAAAUGAGGUUGUACGCAUUGCCAAACUUUAGCACAUGAAUCUAGUGAAGCUUCUAGGGUGCUGCAUUCAACAAGAUGAAUGAUGCUGAUCUACAAGUGCAUGACCAACAAAAGCUUGGACUUCUUUAUUUUCUGUUUGAUCACUGAGAAACCUUAUAUUUGGUUUUAUUGGUCCAGCUGAUGCAGUUUGUAAUUGCCUGGUGGAUGUCCUAUUUGGCAUGUUAUUUUGCAGAUAGAUCAAAAAGCAUGUUACUGGAUUGGCCUAAGCGCUUUGACAUUAUUAAUGGCAUUGCUCGGGAGCUUCUCUAUCUUCAUCAAGAUUCUUGACUGAGGGUAAUUCAUAGAGAUCUCAAAGCCAGUAACACAUUACUUGACAGAGAAUUCAACCCAAAAAUCUCAGAUUUUGGCAUUACUAGAAGAUUUGCAGAAAAUGAAACAGAAGCAAGAACGAAGAAAGUUGUUGGAACAUACUAUGGAGUUUUGGUGGAACAGAAACUGAGGAUUCUCUCGUCCAGGCCAGAAUCUCAACCUUCUUGACAUGUGAACAUCAACGCAUGGAAGAUAUUCACAGAAGGCAGAUCCAUCGAACUUCUUGAUCCAUUGGUAGAGACUCCAGCACUCUACAUGAAGUCAUGAGAUCGAUUCAUGUAGGCCUUUUAUCAGUUUAUGCGUGCAACAAAAACCACAAGAUAAGCGAAGUGUGCCAGCUGCUUUUCUAAUGUUGAAUGGAAGGUGCGUGAUUGCCUCAACAUCAGAAGCCUGGUUUUUAUAGUGAAAGUAAUCCGACAGAACUUGAAGUUUCUACAGAUGAGGUUACAGAAUGUUCAGCUAAUGAACUCACUGUUACACUAGUGGGGACUCGAUUAAUGAUAAUUCAUGUUGAGUAUUCUCUACUCGUUA